GGGCGUUUGGCACAGUGGUAGCGCGCACGCUUUGCAACGUCAGCCGUCGCUGGUGAACAUGCGUGAGGUCCAGGGUUCAAGCCCCUGAACGUCCA
rfam:Ceriporiopsis subvermispora B unplaced genomic scaffold CERSTscaffold_7, whole genome shotgun sequence.